rnacentral:rRNA from 1 species
GACGAACCGUGCGAACGUUGUUCGGAAUCACUGGGCUUAAAGGGCGCGUAGGCGGCUUGCCGAGUCAGGGGUGAAAUCCAGCAGCUUAACUGUUGAAGUGCCUUUGAUACUGGCGAGCUCGAGGGAGGUAGGGGUUUGUGGAACUUCUGGUGGAGCGGUGAAAUGCGUUGAUAUCAGAAGGAACGCCGGUGGCGAAAGCGACGAACUGGACCUCUUCUGACGCUGAGGCGCGAAAGCUAGGGGAGCAAACGGG